AUUUGACGAGUAGAGAAAAAUUUAAGAUGUUCUGAACUAAUAACGUAUCGGAUGUUUGAAUGUGCGAAGCACGGUCCCCGAUAUUAAUAUAGUAAUACAGUACUAUAGAGAGGCUCAAGUUAUGAUGGCAGUGGAGAAAGAUAGGAGAACAUCGUUGCCGAUUCUCUGCCUUGCCACUGCAAUCUAUAGAGAGUAGCUGUUACCGGUACCUAACUGUUCAUUGUUGUUUAAAAUCAACCAUUAUAUUUUUCAGUUAAUAAAUAAUACAUAUUUA